rnacentral:rRNA from 1 species
AUUGAACGCUGGCGGCAGGCUUAACACAUGCAAGUCGAGCGGGAAUAGGUAGCUUGCUACUGAAUUCUAGCGGCGGACGGGUGAGUAAAGCUUAGGAAUCUGCCAUUUAGUGGGGGACAACAUUCCGAAAGGGAUGCUAAUACCGCAUACGUCCUACGGGAGAAAGCAGGGGAUCACUUGUGACCUUGCGCUAAAUGAUGAGCCUAAGUCGGAUGAGCUAGUUGGUGGGGUAAAGGGCUACCAAGGCGACGAUCUGUAGCGGGUCUGAGAGGAUGAACCGCCACACUGGGACUGAGACACGGCCCAGACUCCGACGGGAGGCAGCAGUGGGGAAUAUUGGACAAUGGGGGGAACCCUGAUCCAGCCAUGCCGCGUGUGUGAAGAAGGCCUUUUGGUUGUAAAGCACUUUAAGCGAGGAGGAGGCUACCUGGAUUAAUACUCUAGGAUAGUGGACGUUACUCGCAGAAUAAGCACCGGCUAACUCUGUGCCAGCCGCCGCGGUAA